UACGUAGGGUGCAAGCGUUGUCCGGAAUUAUUGGGCGUAAAGAGCUCGUAGGCGGUUUGUUGCGUCGGCUGUGAAAUCCCGAGGCUCAACCUCGGGUCUGCAGUCGAUACGAGCAAACUGGAGUACUGCAGGGGAGACUGGAAUUCCUGGUGUAGCGGUGGAAUGCGCAGACUAGUCAGGAGGAACACCGGUGGCGAAGGCGGGUCUCUGGGCAGUAAACUGACGCUGGAGGA
rnacentral:rRNA from 1 species